rnacentral:rRNA from 1 species
AUUGAACGCUGGCGGCAGGCCUAACACAUGCAAGUCGAACGAGUGGCGGAAGGGUGAGUAAUGUCUGGGAAACUGCCAGAUGGAGGGGGAUAAAUACUGGAAACGGUAGCUAAUACCGCAUACCAUCGGAUGUGCCCCGAGGGGAUUAGCUAGUAGGUGGGGUAACGGCUCACCUAGGCGACGAUCCCUAGCUGGCCUGAGAGGCUGACCAGCCACACUGUAACGGAUACACGGUCCAGACUCCUACGUGAGGCAGCAGUGGGGAAUAUUGCACAAUGGGCGCAAGCCUGAUGCAGCCAUGCCGCGUGUAUGAAGAAGGCCUUCGGGUUGUAAAGUACUUUCAGCGAGGAGGCGUUACUCGCAGAAGAAGCACCGGCUAACUCCGUGCCAGCCGCCGCGGUAAUUC